rnacentral:rRNA from 2 species
GGGGAAUAUUGGGCAAUGGGCGCAAGCCUGACCCAGCAACGCCGCGUGAAGGAAGAAGGCUUUCGGGUUGUAAACUUCUUUUAUGAGGGACGAAAAAAAUGACGGUACCUCAUGAAUAAGCCACGGCUAACUACGUGCCAGCAGCCGCGGUAAUACGUAGGUGGCAAGCGUUAUCCGGAUUUACUGGGCGUAAAGGGUGCGUAGGCGGCCUUGUAAGUCAGAUGUGAAAGGCUACGGCUCAACCGUAGUAAGCAUUUGAAACUGCAGGGCUUGAGUGCAGGAGAGGAGAGUGGAAUUCCUAGUGUAGCGGUGAAAUGCGUAGAUAUUAGGAGGAACACCAGUGGCGAAGGCGACUCUCUGGACUGUAACUGACGCUGAGGCACGAAAGCGUGGGGAGCAAACA